UACGUAGGCAGCAAGCGUUACUCGGAAUUACUGGGCGUAAAGCGCGCGCAGGCGGCUAUCCAAGUCAGUGGUGAAAGCCCGGAGCUCAACUCCGGAACUGCCAUUGAAACUGUUUAGCUUGAGGACGAGAGAGGUGAGUGGAAUUCCCAGUGUAGAGGUGAAAUUCGUAGAUAUUGGGAAGAACACCGGUGGCGAAGGCGGCUCACUGGCUCGUAUCUGACGCUCAGGCGCGACAGCGUGGGGAUCAAACAGG
rnacentral:rRNA from 1 species